rnacentral:lncRNA from 1 species
GGAUUGUAAAAUUUGGUGGAAAGUUAAGAGAUUUUAGCAGAUAUUUUACUUAUAACUCAGCCCUUUUUCUCUCGGUGCCUUUUUCAAUUAUAGGAUUUCCAAAUCUAUAGCUGUUUGGCUAAUCUGUGGGCAUCUUCUGUGAUGUCAAGUCCCUGCAGCCUCAGCAUCCUUAUCUCCACACACCAUAAGCAUGCAGAUAUUUUGCGGGGAGAGGAUGUCUGGUCAGACGUUGAGUUUGUCUGGUACAAUUUAUUCUACUAAUGAGACAUCUUCGGGCAGCAGCCACGUUGACAGUAAAAGUAAUAGCUCUACGAAAGCGGUAACCUGUAGCCAUAUAUUGCUCCUCUGA